rnacentral:lncRNA from 1 species
UUCUCCAUAGCCCGCCUCAAUCUCCACCUCGCCCUCCUUGCUGGUAUACAUGCAUCUCAUUCAGUCUGUUCGUUGUACAACUUGUAGUGUCCACAAUUCAGAAGUAGGAGUUCACAGAAAACUGCUUCUCUGAAUCACUCAUCGUUCAGUUUCGUUCUCUUGUGGUUAAUUCAAAGAUCCAUUGCCAAAAAUGUGAAUAUGAGUGCAAAUAUGCUUGUCUUUUGAACUCUGGAACUGUUGCCUAUACAUGCCUAUUAUUGCUGAAUAUGAUGGAAAUGUGGAUGUUUAAGAGGGAGUAUUUAUCAGGAAGCAGCUUAUAGGACUUCCAAUAAGCAAGAAGUUUCAUAUAAUUUUCCUGUAUGCAAUAGGAUGAACUUUCAUUUUAUUGGAAGGUGCUAUAGUAUAAAUUUCAAAGACCCACUUCAGUUGUUGCUGUUAUGGAUUUAUAAAUCUUAAACACAACAGUCUUUCGGUGAAUACAUCUAUUGUAUUUUGGUGAAUAAAAUGCGUCAGACAGAUCCCCACUCUUCAGCAGAUCUUAUAUAACAUUCAAAUUGUCUAUUAGCUAGAUUAGUUUCUCACUGCACUUUGUUUCAAUUUUUUUAGUUUGGAUCGAGUGUGAAUGUAAGGAAGAUAUUGUUGUCACAUAGUAAUAAUCCAUCUAUGAGUUACUAGGAGGUAUCUCAUGCAUGUUGAUUGUGCUUCAAGGUACAGUAGUUUGUAGCAUACAAAAUUAGUGGUUCGCCAUGUUGACCCAACUGUGUGAAUUCAUACAACCAAAACUAGGAACAAAGUUUGAUUCGUAGGUAGCUGAAGAAGCGAACAACUUCUGUUCUUUGCAUUGCAGGUUUCCUAUGUUCCAAAAAUUGAUGUGUAUUCAGGCGUGCUAUGUGACGUGUUGAGAGAAUAUGAUGGGAGGAGGAGACACAACACUCCACUCCACUUCCUAUUAUUGCCAUCACGUUGUUGCCACACUUGGGCUGGUUCUAUUGCGCAUGCUUCUUGCUAUUUGGAUUGCAUCGUUCUUAUUAUUUUUAGGUUAGCCAUCGUUUGAAUUGAUAACAGGACAAUGUUAUCAACUCUUUCUUGGCGAGGAACAUAUUUUUGCAGGCCAGGAGGAAGCUUGAGAACUUGCCACCCGAUCUCGCCAGGGCGAUGAGAUGGAGGCCUGCUCACUGCUGCUCUGCUGUUCGCUACACUUUCAAGGCCUCAGGGAGCACCGCCUUACUGACGACCUCUUCCUCAACAAGCUCGUCGUGGAGUGCAUCGUCGGGUCAACUCCAAUGUCCUUUAUUUUGAGAAUUCAUCAUUCACCACCCUGUAGACAGAUCGUUGCUGACCGUCAUUGCCACCUAUAUAUACUCAAUGUAGUGUGAUUCUUAAGGCCGUCAGAGUCGUACAUACGUCGAUGUAGUGUGCUUCUUAUGCCGGUUUUGGACAGUAUCUACAAAGUGUAUGCUAUGAUCAAAACUGGCGUCCCCUUCCUUUUGAACCAGCUAUACAGUUGAUUGCUACUAAACCAAAUUUAAUCUACUUUUAGCUCUAACGAUUUGGUUAUUGUCAUUGAUUAACAAGGUUGUCAGUUAUGCAUGCAUCUGUGCAGCAAAUAAAGAAAAAGACAGCAGAAUGGGCGCUUCCAACCUGACACCGCGCAUGCACUGUUCAGGACGCGCGCCACGGGCGCGCCCCAUCCACUAGUUACAACAGAAAAAUAUAGCAUCCUACGCUGCGUGACGAUGAGCUUAUAGCAGGCUAACACGCACUCGGAGAC